rnacentral:rRNA from 1 species
UACGGAGGGGGCUAGCGUUGUUCGGAAUUACUGGGCGUAAAGCGCACGUAGGCGGCUUUGUAAGUUAGAGGUGAAAGCCCAGGGCUUAACCCUGGAAUUGCCUUUAAGACUGCAUCGCUAGAAUCGUGGAGAGGUGAGUGGAAAUUCCGAGUGUAGAGGUGAAAUUCGUAGAUAUUCGGAAGAACACCAGUGGCGAAGGCGACUCACUGGACACGUAUUGACGCUGAGGUGCGAAAAGCGUGGGGAGCAAACAGG